rnacentral:ncRNA from 1 species
ACUGCCUCAAUUCGUUUAAGAUAAGCUGGCAAUAAAAAGACAGAACCUGUCCACUGUGAUAGGCUUUUUGUUGUACUUAUUUAUACGAUAUAGGCAUUCAUUAGUUACAGUAAGUUGCUUUAGAUUCUUUCUUAUGCUUUUCUUUAACUAUAUAUUUUCAGAAUGUUUUCUAUUGUAUAUAUACAGACCAAAGCCAUGUUGUGGAUCCGGGACUGUGUUUUUUAU